rnacentral:rRNA from 1 species
GAUGAACGCUGGCGGCGUGCCUAAUACAUGCAAGUCGAGCGAACAGACGAGGAGCUUGCUUCUCUGACGUUAGCGGCGGACGGGUGAGUAACACGUGGAUAACCUACCUAUAAGACUGGGAUAACUUCGGGAAACCGGAGCUAAUACCGGAUAAUAUAUUUAACCGCAUGGUUCAAUAGUGAAAGACGGUUUUGCUGUCACUUAUAGAUGGAUCCGCGCCGCAUUAGCUAGUUGGUAAGGUAACGGCUUACCAAGGCAACGAUGCGUAGCCGACCUGAUAGGGGGAUCGGCCAAACUGGAACUGAGACACGGUCCAGACUCCUACGGGAGGCAGCAGUAGGGAAUCUUCCGCAAUGAGCGAAAGCCUGCCGGAGCAACGCCGCGUGAGUGAUGAAGGUCUUCGGAUCGUAAAACUCUGUUAUUAGGGAAGAACAAAUGUGUAAGUAACUAUGCACGUCUUGACGGUACCUAAUCAGAAAGCCACGGCUAACUACGUG